GCUUUCAGCUGUUCCUCCAAAACACAUCCUGUCUGUAGCCAACUCCCCACCUCCACUCCUGCCUCCACGGCCCACUCACCCCUCCUCUUACCUGAAAGACUGCAAUAGCCUUGUAGUGGGUGUUCCUGCUUUGUUCUCCCCUCACCACAUCCACUCUCCUCAACGCAACCGGAGGAGCUUUAAAAAUGUUAAUCAGAUCAAGUUUCUCCAUAGCUUAAAACCCCAUCCACCACCUGCAAGGCUGUCUGUGAUCCAGUCCCUCCCUACUUCUCCACCCUGACCUCCUCUCUGUUCCCGGAACAGCACCAAAUUCACUUCUGGCUCAGGGCCUUUGCACAUGCUGUUCCCUGCCCUCCUUCUCUCAACAGGCUUCUUGUAUCAUUCAAAUCUCAAGUCAAAUGUAACCCUUUCAGAGAAGGCUUUCUUCACUCCCACUCCUAGCCACUCUGUCAUAUCACCCUUGCACUCACCACAGUAAUUGCCUUGUUCUUUAUCGAUUUCCUGCCUCUCUACACUUGAUUGAAAACUCCUUGAGAGGGGGCCACGUUUCCCUCAUUUACUGCUGACUCCCCAGCACCUAAAGUAAUGCUUGGCCCACAGGGUGUAUUACAUGCCUGAUGGUGCGGUUUCCUAUGAAUAUUGUGGAAAGAGAAAAUGAAGGAGUGAGUGAAUUAUUCUUUAUCAAAAACAAAGCACCAAAAUUUUCUCUCAAAGCAGAAACUGGACAGUUAAAACACAGAAACAGAAUUUAAUGAGUUUGUAAUGAGACAGUGAGCUCCGUGAGAGUAGCUCCCACCUCUCCUGUUAAUGAUAUAUACCAGGGCCCAGAGCAAAACUUGGUACAGAACUGACACCAUGUAGGGAACAAACCAGACCACGGACCAGGCCACGUUAGGGGUUGGUGUGUUUCUGGGUGGAAGAGCCUGCUCAGCCAGGGCCGGCAGGGCAAGCUGUCCUCUCUGAGCCGACAGGGAAGCCUGGCGACGCUGGGGAAUUUGAGAGUCCCCGCCUGGCAUGCACUCCCCUUGAAAGGAUUGUCAGGAAACUGGAGGCCUCUCUGAAUUUGGAGAGGAUGAUUUAGUUCCUACUUGAUUGCUCUCCUCCUAACUCCCUCUCUCCAUGAAGCUCCUUGAAUAUAAAUUCAGGAAUUUAUCAUCGUAGCAUUAUUGUCUGCUUCUAACCAGUAACUCCUCCUUUAUAAAAAUGGGGGCUCUGGACUAGAUCUCUCAAUUCCCUUCAGAGCCAACAUUUGAUGGUUUUAAGUGAAAAUGUGUUCCACCUGGAACCAAGGGGCGUUCAGCUCAAGCCUCUAAAAAACACAGUUCAAGCUUAACUGGAAGGACCUGGAGAGCUAGUCACAGCCGCUGCCUCACAGCAGGUCCCAGGUAACGAGGCCCCUCUCACCUGACCUGAGCGUGGUAGGAGACAGCACGUGAUGAUUCUGAAGCCCAUAUCCUGUCCCCUCCAGGGCUUGGCAUUCUGUUUCCUGGAACUUCUCCGCUCUAAGCGGAGAUACUAUUAAAGAAUGUUUUAAACUGAGGAAUGAGAAAUAUUCUCCACGUGAGUUUUUAAAGUCCACGUGUGAGACUGGUGGUUCUUAAGCUCAAAGUCACCUGCAGUGCUUGUUAAAAUUGCAGUCUGCGGCUCAAUUCCAGCGCUCUGACUCAGUGGAUUUGCAUUUCCAGAGCUUCUAGGUGAUUCUGGAGCAAAUUUGUGGUGGAAAACUACCUGGUGCUACCUGGUAUGUAGGAGGCUGCGCUCCGCAGGGACCUGGCCUUAAACAGGCUCGGAGCCCCGCCCUCGCUGGCUUCCUGUGGCCUGUGAGGCCCGGGGAUCCGAGCAGCCUCUUCACUGACCGGCUUCAGGCCACUGGGUUCCACAAUUGCAUCAGUGAUCCGAACAGCCUGUCUCCUCAGUGCCAAACAGCUGGACACUUAGAGAGGGGAGGCCAUUCAUGUCCAGACAUACAGGGCUGGUGAACACAUGCAGGUCCCGGGAGGAUGGCAUGCCCAGAGAGCAUCAGAGCACGGUGCCCUCCCCACACAUAUGUUACGCUGUGCAUCUCUUCCAUCUGGCUGUUGCUGAGUCACAGAAAAAACCUCCUUUUCCUCGAUGGAGGAAAACAGCUACCCUUCAUGUGCAAACCCUGCAAAGUUCUCAGCCAAAGCAGCAACGAUCUGUGUUCAUUGCUUCAUCCCUGCAUGUGAGACAUGAGGCAGAAUAUGUCCUCCUACAGGAGAGAAAGGACGGUGGGGGCUGUAGGCGGUCCUGCACCUCUACAAAGGAAGCAUGCCGGGCCGCUGCUUAGAAUGCAGAUGUUGAUGACAAAAGUUGGAGCCACGAUCUUGGACCACAGUAUGGAGACUGUAUAUUGAAGAUGGCAGAGGAGUGGUAUAGAGGGAGUCUAGUCAGUGAUAAUUACAGAGCCGCAAUAACAAUCCUGGUCUGCCUCCCUAGCAUUUAAUGCACGGGACAAAUAAAUCUUAACGUUGCUUAAACCACUGUCAAUUUUGAGUUUCCCGACACUCAGCUGGAUAGAAUCCUAUCUAUUGCACAGGGAUACCUCCAUUCUUUGUCCCCGUCUCUCCCUACAUAAAGUCAUUGCCCUUUUCUGCAUUCUCUUCUUUUACUUCUACAUAUUUCAUCCAAAUGGAUUCAAAUUACACGUAUGUCUCAUUAAUGGCAGAUCACCAAAGGGGUGGAAAGCCAGCCUGGGACCUCUGGAGAGGGCAAUUAUGAGUUGGAGCCAAGGACCAGGCUCUGAGAGGCAACGUUCUUGGUCCUGGCCAGCAGAGAGGGAGUGGUUUAAACCCAGUUCUUCCUGCUCAGUUAGCCUCCCUGCCCAUUUAUGAGGCAAAGCGUGAGUCUUGCCAACAAAAUCUUCUUUCCAAGAAAAUAAGUUCAAGUCAUCCUACUUCUCUGGUUUCUCGCCUGCCAUCAUUCCCAGAAAGAUGUACAUGAUGUGGCUGUCAUGAAACAUCUGUCUCUAGUCCCACCAAAAGGACCA
rnacentral:lncRNA from 1 species